GAUGAACGCUGGCGGCGUGCCUAAUACAUGCAAGUCGAGCGAACAGACGAGGAGCUUGCUCCUCUGACGUUAGCGGCGGACGGGUGAGUAACACGUGGAUAACCUCCCUAUAAGACUGGGAUAACUUCGGGAAACCGGAGCUAAUACCGGAUAAUAUAUUGAACCGCAUGGUUCAAUAGUGAAAGACGGUUUUGCUGUCACUUAUAGAUGGAUCCGCGCCGCAUUAGCUAGUUGGUAAGGUAACGGCUUACCAAGGCAACGAUGCGUAGCCGACCUGAGAGGGUGAUCGGCCACACUGGAACUGAGACACGGUCCAGACUCCUACGGGAGGCAGCAGUAGGGAAUCUUCCGCAAUGGGCGAAAGCCUGACGGAGCAACGCCGCGUGAGUGAUGAAGGUCCUCGGAUCGUAAAACUCUGUUAUUAGGGAAGAACAAAUGUGUAAGUAACUAUGCACGUCUUGACGGUACCUAAUCAGAAAGCCACGGCUAACUACGUG
rnacentral:rRNA from 1 species